AUGUAUGUGACGGGCAUCCAUCUUGUUGUUCCUGGAUAGCGCUAAAAGUAGGAUGAUCCGAAUGUUUUUAAACAUGCAUAACUACAGAGAUUUGAGUGAAAAGUGUUUUGGAAAGCUCUCGAGAUAAGCUACAAGAAUAUGUAAUGAGAAAUAGUAGGUUCUAUUUAAGAAAUUGAAUAUGACCUUCAUGUGACCAUCAAGUAACUCUUCAAGGUCAAACCAAUGAUACCAUCUUAUGUCCCCCUCGAAGCCAUACAACUUUUGUCUGAAACAUUUUUCUCUAAAAUGUUCUAUUUCCGAAAUAAAAGGGCUGUACGGGUGGUCUGAAUCACCCUUAUAUAUAUAUAUAUAUAUAUAU